UUAAGACGUCGUUGUUAAAUGCAUAGUUUGUUUUGUUUGUUUUUACGUGGCUCCUGUUUAUCGAGACAAUAUUGUUAUGACUGAGACAUGAACUUUGUUUUCGGCACAUCUCUAACUCUUUCAGCAAGUGAAUUAUUUUCUCUAGCCGUCCAGACAUUCGUGCAUUCAGCAGAAACAACAAGAAGAAGGUCCCAUUACUUUCUAUACAUUCGAUAUCUAAAGGGAAGUGGGUUAAUGGAUGAAAGACGAGAAAAGAAGCUAAUCGAAUGAAGCAUCGGUCACCAAGGAGAUACCAUUCACCCCGUCAGAGAGACGGGACAAUUAUGCGGGAUUCGCGUCAGUCGGGGCAGAUGAUUGGAUUACAAACAUGUUAUACGACAAUCCGAUGCUGAAGUGAAGACAAGAUAAAAGCUCUUGUCCUUUUUAGAUCGAGACGAUGAUCAAAAUACCAGCACGUCACUUACUCGGUUGACAUUUCUCAUUUGGGGGGUUAGAGAACGAGUGAUUGACCAUCCGUCUACGUGGUGGUUCCCAGUAGAGCAAUCAAGAAAGGAAUGGGCUGCGCUAUACCGAUGUUCAUGAUCCUGCUAUUUUUGUUUUCCUCUGGUAUCUUUUCCUACACACACUUUUUCUCGUCUUGCCCACACUUGCCCAUCUGCCAAAGCAAAAAAUAAAAUAAAAAAUGUAUAGUAGUCGAUAGACUAAAUCGGUUCGUCAACGAAAGCCUUGUCUACAUGUUUCAGUGCGACAUCUCGAAAAAAUGCGGAAACACAUUUCGCUUUUGUGCGCGCACGUCGCGUGUAUGAAUAUUUCAACCGUUUGCAUUCAAAUUCUAGUAGAGAAUUUGCUGGAUAUACUCGGGAGCAAUUCUCUAUUUUGUUUUUCCUUGAGGCGUAUCAUCCAUACUGCAAACAUUUCCCAGAAACUAUAUUGCUCUUGUUAUGAUUUUUAUGUUGUUUUUUUGUUUUGUUUUUUUCGGUAGGCUUUGUUUUGGUUUCUUAUUUUUUGUU